rnacentral:rRNA from 1 species
CGGAGGAGGCUAAACCGUGUGUGUGUUCAAGCCGGCAGGUGUUGCAUGUGCGGGGUUGUGGGGGCCUGUGUGAUCCUGCUGCCGUGGGAUCGGCUUGCAUGUGGUGUGAAGUUGAAUCGUCUGGGAAGGCGGACCGUAGUGGGUGAGAGUCCCGUAGACGUGAGUGUCAUGUGUGGUUGUCAGGUUGCCCCAAGUAGCGCGGUACUCGUGGAAUGUCGCGUGAAUCUGGCGGGACCACCCGUCAAGCCUAAAUACUCCUUGGUGACCGAUAGUGGAUGAGUACCGUGAGGGAAGGGUGAAAAGUACCCCGGGAGGGGAGUGAAAGAGUACCUGAAACCGUGUGCUUACAAGUAGUCAGAGC